CAUUUAGCUCUACUGAGAAACCUGGAGUUUUUCUUCUGAUUUUCCAACCACACUAGCAAAACCACAAUGGUCUGUGUGUAUGCCUGGUAUAAAUUCUUGAUAUACACUCUGAAGCCCCAUGAAUACAGGCAGUAUAAUGUAUAAAGCUCUACUGUACUGUUUUCAAUUCAGAUCUAGAUGUGUGGCACGUUGUGGCGACAAGUUUUAGAGUUAGGAUUAAAACACAGUCGGUGAAGUUCAGAAUUAGGAUCAGUAAGGACUAGGAGAGGUUUUCUUAGCUAGAAAAUAAAAUUAAGUGAAAAUGUUCUGCCUUUUUAUGUUGAAAUGUCUCGUCUUUUGUUUCCUUGUUGCUGUGCGCACAUGUUUAAAUCUGCACAUUUGGAACUAACACUGAAUUUCCUGACAUAUCUAAACACUUGUGAUGUAUAAUAAUACAGUGAUCCGCCUGAAAUCAUAUUGUACCCCACAACAGCAGUGCAAGUGCCUGUUUCAGAAUGAGGUUAUAUUGCUUCCUGUUUGUAACUGAAGAGCAGCCAGUUUUCAAAGCGCUGUGAUAACAGAGAUGUAACAAAGGCAGGGUAAAAAUAGACUACAGUGUAGCACACCUCACUGAUUAAACCCAGUGAUGAUCUGUAGCCUGAGAGCAAUCGUGUCAGACAGACAACCUGCUCUGUUCAAGACGGCUGGAAUAUGAGCGCUCAAGUGUGUCUCCUGUAUGUGAUAGCUCUGGCGGUGUUGUCUUUGGCCCUGUUGGUCUCUUUGUGUCUCAAUAUCAUCCUUUGCGUCAGACGAAGAGCCACCUUGUGCAGAGAUGAUUCCUGCUACCCAGACAAUCCUGAAGGAGAAACCCUAACACAAAGUGAAGGGCAAUAUUUUCAUUACCUCAAUCAUGACGAGCAGCAGGAAAAUCCCCACGAUGAGCAUGAGCAACAGGAAAAUCCAAUCUAUGGCAACAUCAGCGCAGACAGCAGAGGUUCUGCAGAGGGUUGCUAUGAGAUGAUGACCAUGCAACGAGUAAGAGACUCUAAAAAGCCCCGAGAGCCUGACCUGAAUUAUGCUUCGUUGGAUCUGAAGAUCGCCAAGAAACGCAAGAAGCACCGCCAUCAGCAAGGCCAGACGCAAGGACGAAACAAUCUUCAAGACCAGCUGCCAGAGCACCUCACACCUCCUAUGAAUUCCUUCUUGGAGGUGGACGCAGAUGUGGAUGCUCUUCUUCCUUCGAGGGACACCAGCACAAUGGUUUCACACAGCAGCAUUUACCUGAACAGCCAGCAGAUAGCCCAAGAGGCCGAGGAAAUGGAAAGAGAAAGGAGCAUAAACGUGGAGAGGGAGAAUGUGGGCUGGGAUGGCAUGCGAAGGUGUGAGGAUCGGAGAAGCAGAGAGUGGAAAGGUGAUCAAGAGAGUAAGGAAAGAAUAGUCAAGCAAGAUGGUAGCCAUGGAAAUGGAUGUAUACAGCUUUCAGAGGGGGAAAUUACUGAGAGCAGCACAGAUCAUUUCAUUAGCAGCUUUAGCCGUGAUAGUUUCCAACAUGACUAGUAAGAUAUCAUAUUAAGACUGUUUUGUUUCAAACUGUUCUGAGCUGAACACCAGAGCACCUGAAAUGCUCAGGAAACCCACUAUCUAUUACUGUAUCUCCAAGAAUGAAAACUAUGUCAUCUUGAUUAUUCAAAGAGCUUUGCAAAGUUGAGCAAUAUCCUGUUUGAUGCAGAUGAACUACCUCUUGAACUCUCCACAUUGGGCAACCUAGGGAAAAAAAACGAAGUGUACCUCUCUCUGCAGAGGAUGCUAUAAGUGCAGAAUAUAUAAAAAGAAAAGGAAAGUCUGUGUGUGUGACAUUUAGAGGUCAAGGGCCACGUGGAAAUUUUCAAACUGUUACAAAACAUGAGGAAAAUCUCAAAUCAUCACAGGACAGAAAAAAACUCAUCGUUUUGAUGCCUCAUAAUCACACAUUAACGGAUGUCGUAUGAAAAAAAGUGUGAAAAAAAUUAUCUUACACUUGUUUUCCAUAGUGUAGGCGAUGGCUAAAUCAUGAGUCGUUUUGCCUGUCCCAGCACAUACAUGAAUUUGUUCUCAGUCAUGUUAAAACUGAAGGUAGGAUUGAUAUGAAGAUAAAAAUUAAAGCAAGAAAGUGAAAAGGGGAAGGCUGUAAGUGGUGGAAUUUUGUUCCCCCUGUGGGCACACGAUUGUUUAUUGUUCAUGCCACAUGAAAGUGAUCAUAAUGGUCAUUACCUUUAUAAUCUGUUGCACUUAAGCACCAUCUGCUUAAAUGAUUAUUUCCCUCUCAGUAAUCCUCGUUCUGGGCGGAUAAUUUACUGUACUGCUUUCUGCUGAGGGAGCGGAGCUCUGAAGUGAACUGCAGUCAAAGGCCUGCAGCACACCAACUGUUCAGUGACAGCUUUUCAAUAGCUGACCGUGGCCUACUUUCCCUCCAUGGAUUAAUUUUUGGUAAGAGGCAUUUUGGAUGUAACUACUCUCAAUAUAUGGGAAGCCACAAAAUGACACCCUUAGAAAUGAUAAGCCACUAUAGUAACUGUCGCAUUUUAUAAAUUCUAAAUAUACUGUAUUCCCAGUCUUUGUAAUUUGUAUAAUAUUAACUGAAUUCUGAUCAUAAAAACAAAACACCUGCCUUUAAUUGCUAGAAAUUCUUAUAGUGUCUAUCAGCCCCUGCAGUGGAUUUUAGAUUCUGUGUCCAACUUGGAUUGCACAAGAUAUUUCUGUUUCGGAGGGCUGGAGAACUCAGGCGCAGACACAGAGAAAUUGGCAGACAGGUGAAUAAAGGAAAAGGCUUUUAUUUAACGAAGUAACUUAAUUAAUACACCAAUGGAGAACUGAACUGGGGGGG